GCAAGUCGAGGGGUAAGGCUCACUUCGGUGAGUACACGACCGGCGCACGGGUGCGUAACGCGUAUGCAACCUACCUUUAACAGAGAGAUAGCCCCGAGAAAUCGGGAUUAAUAUCACAUAACAUCUUUUUAUGGCAUCAUAUGAAAGAUUAAAGCUCCGGCGGUAAGAGAUGGGCAUGCGUGACAUUAGUUAGUUGGUGAGGUAACGGCUCACCAAGACCACGAUGUCUAGGGGGUCUGAAAGGAUGAUC
rnacentral:rRNA from 1 species